GCCUAUUGUCGGUUGAAUGCCCUAAAGGCACCAGGUCCUGUCUUAACUUGAAGCUAAGCAGGGCCAGCCAUGGGUAAUACUUGGAUGAGAGAAGGCCAGUAAGUACCAGGAGCUGUAGGCU
rnacentral:rRNA from 11 species